rnacentral:tRNA from 1 species
GCGGGUGUAGUUCAAUGGUAAAACAUAAGCUUCCCAAGCUUAGAAUGUGGGUUCAAUUCCCAUCACCCGCU